rnacentral:rRNA from 1 species
UCCUGGCUCAGGAUGAACGCUAGCGACAGGCCUAACACAUGCAAGUCGAGGGGCAUCGCGGGAGAAGCUUGCUUUCCUGGCGGCGACCGGCGCACGGGUGCGUAACAGGUGUAGCAAUCCUGUCCAUAGUCGGGGGAUAGCCCAGCGAAAGCUGAAUUAACACUCCAUGUGAAUCGAAGCCGCAUGACUUUGAUUUGAAACGCAAGGACUAUGGGUGAGCACGCUUCUGAUUAGCUAGUUGGUGGGUAACGGCUCACCAAGGCGACGAUCAGUAGGGGUUCUGAGACGGAAGGUCCCCCACAUUGGAACUGAGACACGGUCCAAACUCCUACGGGAGGCAGCAGUGAGGAAUAUUGGUCAAUGGGCGAGAGCCUGAACCAGCCAAGUCGCGUGAAGGAUGAAGGUUCUAUGGAUUGUAAACUUCUUUUGUCCGAGGGUAAAAAAGGCCACGUGUGGCUUCUUGCAAGUAUCGGACGAAUAAGCAUCGGCUAACUCCGUGCCAGCCGCCGC